CAAUAGCGUAUAUUAAAGUUGUUGCAGUUAAAAGCUCGUAGUUGAAUUUCUGGUCAUUUUUAGUCUUGGCUUCGGUCGGGCUAGAGGUGGCCAUCCGUCUGCAAGCUAUUCUCGGCCUUCAUUGGUUCGGAUUAGCGAGCUGACAUUUUACUUUGAAAAAUUAGAGUGUUUCAGGCAGGCUUUUGCCCGAAUACAUUAGCAUGGAAUAAUGGAAUUGGACUCUGGUCCAUUUGGUUGGUUAUUGGAUCUGAGUAAUGGUUAAUAGGGACAGUUGGGGGCAUUAGUAUUUAAUUGUCAGAGGUGAAAUUCUUGGAUUUAUUAAAGACUAACUUAUGCGAAAGCAUUUGCCAAGGAUGUUUUCAUUAAUCAAGAACGAAAGUUAGGGGAUCAAAGACGAUCAGAUACCAU
rnacentral:rRNA from 1 species